GCGCGUUGCUAAGAGCCGGUGACGCUCUUUUCAGCAUCUCCAGAGCGGCUCCAGAGGCCGCUGGGCAUGUCCUGAGGUAAAGUGGAAGUGGAAAGAGAUUCCCUGCACUGAAACAUAGAUAAAUCCACCUGAAGAAUUGCUCAGGGAGCAGCUGAUGAAACUGUCUGCAGAAAGAUGCAGAUUGUGCCCACCCAGGGAAGAUUGACUGACAGAGUGAUUAUGGAUUAUGCAACCGCAUCUCAAAAAGGGAAGUCAUUUCUGAGUAAGGAGGGCCAUGCAGCCUGAAUAUAGAAGGGCACUUGAAUGCUGAAUGGUUCCUCAACUCCACUGGUCCCUGCUGUUCUUGUCAUCUAUCUCCAGAUGAUCCAGGAACUGACUGAUGGAACCGAAGAAAUACGAACAGAUUUUCUAUGAUGGAUCACCCCUAACUCCAGUUGGAUCUCUCCCUGGCUUAAAAAUCUGCAUCUACAGCUAACACUCAGCUCAAGAAGGAAGUGGUAACUGUAAUCAGGAAGGCCUUAUCUGGUUCACCAUGGAGCUGCCCUUGAAGACUAUACAGAAGCUUCAGCUGAUCCAGAAUACAGCAGGGUGGCAAUAAUGAACACACCCUCAGUAUGCUUUUACCAUCUUGAGUUACUUAUAAAAUUGUGUAAGGUGAGAUAAAAAAAUCGAAUAAAUACAGUACCUCUA